rnacentral:rRNA from 1 species
UACGUAGGGGGCAAGCGUUAUCCGGAAUCAUUGGGCGUAAAGCGCGUGUAGGCGGUUCCGUAAGUCCGCUCUGAAAGCCCAGGGCUCAACCCUGGGAGGCGGGUGGAUACUACGGAACUGGAGUACGGAAGAGGAGAUUGGAAUUCCUGGUGUAGCGGUGAAAUGCGCAGAUAUCAGGAGGAACACCAACAGCGAAGGCAGAUCUCUGGGACGUACUGACGCUGAGACGCGAAAGCGUGGGGAGCAAACAGG